rnacentral:lncRNA from 1 species
GAAGUGGGGCCUUAAGAGCUUGGCAGACCUCCUCCUAGGCAAGCAACCCAGGAACUGAACUGAAGGUUGGCAUGACUGGAAAGGUUGGCAUGACUGGAAGAGACUCUGGAGGGUGGAGGGCCAGACUGGGCCUUGGCAGAGGUGCUAAAUAGGCUGUCUCCCAGGUGGGUCCACCUCAGGGAUGGGACUCAGUACUGACCUCCCUGGGCAGGUGCAGGCCUCUGCUCAUUGGCCUCUAGCUGAAUGCAGAGGCCUGGCCUGACCCCAUGCUAAGCAGCCUCGUAUCAAACCUAGUGCCCAGGAAAGGCCAGUAGCCAGGCAUGGGUAGGAAACCAGUUACUCUCCAGCUGCCAUUGUUUCUGGGACCCAGGCUGGAGGGAGUCUUUCUACCCAAGAUUAAACAGUAGGCUGGCGGACUAGGGAGGCCCUACAGCCCUAAGCCGGCAUUGUGCUCCACCUCUAGUAUAGGUCUGACUAGGUUGUCAGCACCAGGGGCAGGGACCGUCUGGCUCCCUGGAGCCGAGCUGGUGGGUGGAGCCCAUGGAAGCCUCCUGGCACUGUGCUGUUUAACUCUCCCAAGCCCCAGGCUUAGAUUGCUGUUCCUGGAGGCUGCUGACACAGUCUGUGGAGGAUAGAAGGUGUGCAGCCUGGGACUCGGUGUGCCACCUGCCACCAGAGCCUCUGGAACCUCUUUGCGGGAGAUGUAGAGUGUCAGAUUACAAAGGAAACUAAGCCAGAGUCUGUACACAUCCCAGGGAGCCUGCAGUGUGGAGACUGGAAGGGUCUGGUUGGCCUGAGAGACAGGCAGGGUUGAUGGCCCUGCUGGGUUCCUGAGACAGGGACUAAAGUUGCAGUCGCAGGCUGGGAUUAUUCCUUACCUUUGAAGCAACUGAACUUGUGCAUCCCAUAGGAGAGACUGAGGCGUAAAGCUCACUGCUCUGUGUAGCUGUGUCAGGAUGGGCUGAUUGGCAGGUAUAAGAGAACAUUGUGCUCUGGACCCCGAGCGACAAAAGUGUGAGUCAGAACUAUGACUUAUGGCAGCCCCAACACUAAUCAGCCCAGGCCUUUCAAUGCCUGCAUUGUAUCUAAGCCAGUGCCUUCUUAGGUCUCCCAAACCCUAGUGCCCUGAAGACAAAGGCUAGGCAGAGAGAGCCACUGUCUUCUGGACUGAGCAUUUGUUCUGUGGGCUGCCAGACUAACUCUAGGGUUAUAGGAUUAUGUGUUGGGGUAUGGAGAGGAGCCCCAGUGUUUAGGAGAAAUGUCUACCCAGCAUCCUUUGCUUCUCCAGAGCCGAUGAGAGAACAGAGCUCUGUCCUCAGUAGCAAUUUGGAUGGAAGGUUCUGGCUCACUCUGAGCCAUGCAAAGGUCAAAGGCCAGCCUUGGAGAACUAUACAGUCCUUUCUUGGAGAGCUGACCGGACGCUUAGGGUCGGUUUAUCCUUUAAGCAUAAGGCCUAGGAGCAAGACUGGGGAGUGGGUGGGGCAGGAUGGUUCCCAUAAGAUGUGGGACUGUCUGCUUCCUGAUUCCGAGAAUUGGCAGUAGGAAACCAGGGCUUGUCCAGGACAAUGGCUGGAGCUAUGCCUGCCCAGCUCUGUGGAGGGUGGGGUUUCUAUACAGAGCUGCUGCUGUAGGGGUUGGAGGUCAGUCAAGUGGGCUGUGAUAGGCCGCGCCUCUGCUUCUUCCUCAGAUGCUCCCACCUGCCCUGGAAGCCUGGAUUGUGCACUGAAGAGGCGGGCAAAGUGCCCACCAGGGGCACAUGCCUGCGGACCAUGCCUUCAGUCCUUCCAGGAGGACCAGAGAGGGGUCUGUGUGCCGAGGAAGCACCAAUCUUCUGGGGAGGGCCUGCCCCAGCCCAGACUGGAAGAGGAGAUCGAUUCUCUGGCCCGGGAGCUGGCACUGAAGGAGAAGGAGGCUGGGCACCCAAGGCUCACAGCACAGCCCUUGCCUGAGGCUUCCCAGAAGCUCCUGGAACCUGCAGCUACCCUGGGAUUCUCACAGUGGGGUCAACAACUGGAGCCUGGCCUCCCCUCUACUCACGG